GGGUGAGUAACACGUGAGCAACCUGCCCCUGACUCUGGGAUAAGCGGUGGAAACGCCGUCUAAUACCGGAUACGACCUUCCGCCUCAUGGUGGAGGGUGGAAAGUUUUUUCGGUCAGGGAUGGGCUCGCGGCCUAUCAGCUUGUUGGUGGGGUAACGGCCUACCAAGGCGAUUACGGGUAGCCGGCCUGAGAGGGCGACCGGCCACACUGGGACUGAGACACGGCCCAGACUCCUGCGGGAGGCAGCAGUGGGGAAUAUUGCGCAAUGGGCGAAAGCCUGACGCAGCGACGCCGCGUGGGGGAUGACGGCCUUCGGGUUGUAAACCUCUUUUACCACCAACGCAGGCUCCGGGUUCUCUCGGGGUUGACGGUAGGUGGGGAAUAAGGACCGGCUAACUACGUGCCAGCAGCCGCGGUAAUACGUAGGGUCCGAGCGUUGUCCGGAAUUAUUGGGCGUAAAGAGCUCGUAGGCGGCGUGUCGCGUCUGCUGUGAAAGACCGGGGCUUAACUCCGGUUCUGCAGUGGAUACGGGCA
rnacentral:rRNA from 1 species